rnacentral:rRNA from 1 species
UACGUAGGUCCCGAGCGUUGUCCGGAUUUAUUGGGCGUAAAGAGAGCGUAGGCGGUUGUUUAAGUUAAAUGUGAAAGCCUUGGGCUCAACCCAAGAACUGCAUUUAAUACUGGACAACUCGAGUAUUGGAGAGGUAGGUGGAAUUCAUAGUGUAGCGGUAAAAUGCGUAGAUAUUAUGAGGAACAUCAGAGGCGAAGGCGGCCUACUGGACAAUAACUGACGCUGAGGCUCGAAAGCGUGGGGAUCAAACAGG